GCCCAGCUGCUUAACUCUCUGGAAGCAGUUGGUAGAGCAUAAGACUCUUAAUCGCAGGGUCAUGGGUUCAGGCCCCACACUGGGCA